rnacentral:lncRNA from 1 species
UGAUUAUUAUUGUGUCAAAAUUUAAUGUUAGAAAAUAUGAAGGUACAUGCAUGGUAUUUAUAUGGACAUUGUGUUUUUUUGUUCUUUUUUUGUUUGAUAAAUAUUUAUGUGGACAUUGUUGUCCAAAUUUUUUUGAUAAAUUUUUAGUGGACGCAAUCUAUCGUAUAGUUUAUACGUCUACGUUUUGUCCAAUUAGUUCCUUAUAACAACAUUGUAACAUG